UCAUCAUCUUCUAUAGCUACCACUGCUACUUCUACUUAUUAGUCACUAAUCUUAUAGGAGCGACUGUUGAGAUGGCCUGUGUGUGGGUACUAUCACUAGCCUUUUGGGAAGGAAGAGAUCUGAGCAAUGGGACUAGUGUCUAGAUAAAUCACAGGCCAGACAACUCAGCAUGCUUGAAAUUCACAGCAGCCAUUUCAGAUCUCAACAUAUUUAGGCCCUUUGACUUGGCUGUUUAAUGUGCUAGAAAAGGUCCCAGGAAACAGAAAAGGGUCACCUGGUUCCCGUACAAGACAACUACACCUUGAAAAGUAACAGAGCAUUGCAGAAGCACCACUCCUGAUAGCAGCUCUCCCGACUGCUGAGUUACAUUGUGUUAUGCCAGUGUGCCUCUGGAGGUCACUUACAGCUCUGAGAACUCAGCUUCCACCUGUUUGGCCAGAGGACACUGCCCGAUGACUUGGAGGAAGGAGAUGGCCUCAAGAAGUUUGUUCUCUGUCUGAGCCAAGUACUGGUGAUACGGUCUGGGAGAAGUGUUUCUACAAGAACUAAAGAACUGGAGAAACCAUCAAAGGAAGAGUUGAAGCUCAUUGGGGAAAGCCACAGAGCUACACCAGCACCCUCAUGUUCCUGAGAAAAUGAGUCUGAAGAAACAAAUAUAUCAAGGUCAAGAAAGAAAUGAGAAGGCUGAGUGUUUAAGAGCAUAAAAAGAGAGUUUUUUUCCCUGAAAUUAAAGAGUUACAUAAGCUUAGAUAAUGCAGUAAAAUGUGCUCUUUUGUAUGUAGGUCCUUAUCUCCUAGGAAAUAAAAUAAUUUUAUUCAGCAGCAUUUUUAUAUUCUAAUAUCUUGCAAGUUUCAAGUAUUUCAUGACUUAAGCUUUCAUAGUUCUCACAAAGACAUACACUCC
rnacentral:lncRNA from 1 species